UGCAAGUCGAGCGGUAGCACAAGAGAGCUUGCUCUCUGGGUGACAGAGCGGCGGACGGGUGAGUAAUGUCUGGGAAACUGCCUGAUGGAGGGGGAUAACUACUGGAAACGGUAGCUAAUACCGCAUGACGUCUUCGGACCAAAGUGGGGGACCUUCGGGCCUCACGCCAUCAGAUGUGCCCAGAUGGGAUUAGCUAGUAGGUGGGGUAAUGGCUCACCUACGCGACGAUCUC
rnacentral:rRNA from 1 species